AUUGAACGCUGGCGGCAGGCCUAACACAUGCAAGUCGAACGAGUGGCGGACGGGUGAGUAAGGUCUGGGAAACUGCCUGAUGGAGGGGGAUAACUACUGGAAACGGUAGCUAAUACCGCAUACCAUCGGAUGUGCCCAGAUGGGAUUAGCCAGUAGGUGGGGUAAAGGCUCACCUAGGCGACGAUCCCUAGCUGGUCUGAGAGGAUGACCAGCCACACUGGAACUUAGACACGGUCCAGACUCCUACGGGAGGCAGCAGUGGGGAGUAUUGCACAAUGGGCGCAAGCCUGAUGCCGCCAUGCCGCGUGUAUGAAGAAGGCAUUCGGGUUGUAAAGUACUUUCAGCAGGGAAGCGUUACCCACAGAAGAAGCACCGGCUAACUCCGUGCCAGCAGCCGCGGUAAUUC
rnacentral:rRNA from 1 species